rnacentral:rRNA from 1 species
AUGGCCGCGCGUCGGAUAUCGGCCAGGUCGGAGAGCCACGGGGGCAUGACGAGCAGCCACGCGGAGUCCGGGAAGUUGAGGCACGCCGCGGCGGAGGCGGAGUGGCCGAGCAGCGCGAGCAUGGCGGCGUCGUGCGCGCGCGCGGCCGACUCGGCGGCGGCGUACGUCCCGAGCCAGAGCCGCUCGCCGCGCUUGCCGGGGACGCGCACCUCGCACACCCACCGGCCCGCGCUGCCCCGGCGCCGCACGCCGCGGUACACCGGGUGGCGCGUCUCCUUGAACUUGGUGCGCCCGGCGGGCCGCUUCGCCGCCGGCGACCACACAGGCACCACCUCCCCGUGCUCGUGCCCGGACGUCGAUGAGGAAGGGGAGCUGAUCCAGCUGUCGAUGGCCGUGUCCAUCGCUUGCUGCCGGAGUGCCGAUUGCUUUUGCUGGAGCGCGACUGCCACUGGGGUACGUGUGGAGUGUGAGCUUGAGGCUUUGGGUAGUCGAGUGUGGUGUCCAGAGUGCGCUCACUCAUUUAUAGUUAUGCGUGACGCAGCAGGGAUAUACGACUGGCACACGUCGGCGAGGGGGCGCGCGGCUGCUGGCCAUGGAAGCAGAAUGCCCCUGAUAUUUUCGCUCCUGCUGCUGGUCGACGAUUGGCGCUGGGGCGUUUGGGUUCCACGGUGA